UCUCGAUUGGUCUAGUGGUCAGGAUACCUGCUUGUCAUUCCAUGAAUUCGAUUCACCCUGUGAAUUUGCCUUCACUAUGGAACAAGCCGCAGGUGGCCGGGGUUCGAUUCCCCGAUCGAGAG